GGAAUCGCUAGUAAUCGCACAUCAGCCAUGGUGCGGUGAAUACGUUCCCGGGCCUUGUACACACCGCCCGUCAAGCCAUGGAAGCUGGGGGUGCCUGAAGUCCGUAGCCGAAAGGAGCGGCCUAGGGUAAAACCGGUAACUGGGGCUAAGUCGUAACAAGGUAGCCGUACCGGAAGGUGCGGCUGGAAUAUCUCCUUU
rnacentral:rRNA from 1 species